rnacentral:misc_RNA from 1 species
GAUCAUUACUGUGAUUUACUACUACACUGCGUGAGCGGAACGAAAACAACAACACCUAAAAUGUGGAAUAUAGCAUAUAGUCGACAAGAGAAAUCUACGAAAAACAAACAAAACUUUCAACAACGGAUCUCUUGGUUCUCGCAUCGAUGAAGAGCGCAGCGAAAUGCGAUACCUAGUGUGAAUUGCAGCCAUCGUGAAUCAUCGAGUUCUUGAACGCACAUUGCGCCCCUCGGCAUUCCGGGGGGCAUGCCUGUUUGAGCGUCGUUUCCAUCUUGCGCGUGCGCAGAGUUGGGGGAGCGGAGCGGACGACGUGUAAAGAGCGUCGGAGCUGCGACUCGCCUGAAAGGGAGCGAAGCUGGCCGAGCGAACUAGACUUUUUUUCAGGGACGCUUGGCGGCCGAGAGCGAGUGUUGCGAGACAACAAAAAGCUCGACCUCAA